AAGAGGACUUGAAAUCAAUGCUUUUCACCAUUAUGCUGAUUCUUUCAGCAGCUUAAAACUGGGAAUGUACUUAGGAUCAUCCCACUGCAUAUUUUGAUCCAAUGGCUCUGGACUAGCUGCAAAAGAGUAGAAUUUCCUUGACAACAUAUGUUUUGGAGGAGAUG